rnacentral:rRNA from 1 species
CGGGAAUAUUGCGCAAUGGAGGAAACUCUGACGCAGUGACGCCGCGUGCAGGAAGAAGGUUUUCGGAUUGUAAACUGCUUUAGACAGGGAAGAGAAAGGACAGUACCUGUAGAAUAAGCUCCGGCUAACUACGUGCCAGCAGCCGCGGUAAUACGUAGGGAGCGAGCGUUAUCCGGAUUUAUUGGGUGUAAAGGGUGCGUAGACGGGAAUACAAGUUAGUUGUGAAAUACCUCGGCUUAACUGAGGAACUGCAACUAAAACUAUAUUUCUUGAGUACAGGAGAGGUAAGUGGAAUUCCUAGUGUAGCGGUGAAAUGCGUAGAUAUUAGGAGGAACACCAGUGGCGAAGGCGACUUACUGGACUGAAACUGACGUUGAGGCACGAAAGUGUGGGGAGCAAAC